CGGCAAUCAUUUCAAAUGAAUUCUAUUGGCAACAACAUCUGCCAGUGAGUAGUCAGUAGGUAGAAAAUUCCACGUGGACCAUCUACACAUGUUCUCCUGGAUGUUUGCCCCAUGACAGCCCAGAGGAGACAUCAUUUUUCAAUCAUCUCUGCACCUCAACUCCUCUGUCCUUUCCUUCAGCAUCAGUGAUUUCCUGCCAACUCUGACCCAUCAUUCUUUUCCGCAGUCUCAAAAAACCUCCUGCCCA
rnacentral:lncRNA from 1 species